UACGGGGGGGGGCAAGCGUUUGUUCGGAAUUACUGGGCGUAAAGGGCUCGUAGGUGGCCAACUAAGUCAGACGUGAAAUCCCCUCGGCUUAACCGGGGAACUGCGUCUGAUACUGGAUGGCUUGAGUUCGGGAGAGGGAUGCGGAAUUCCAGGUGUAGCGGUGAAAUGCGUAGAUAUCUGGAGGAACACCGGUGGCGAAGGCGGCAUCCUGGACCAAUAUUGACGCUGAGGAGCGAAAGCCAGGGGAGCAAACAGG
rnacentral:rRNA from 1 species